GACGAACCGUACGAACGUUAUUCGGAAUCACUGGGCUUAAAGGGUGCGUAGGCGGCGCGACAAGUUGGGUGUGAAAUCCCUCGGCUCAACCGAGGAACUGCGCCCAAAACUGUCGUGCUCGAGGGAGACAGAGGUGAGCGGAACUUAGGGUGGAGCGGUGAAAUGCGUUGAUAUCCUAAGGAACACCGGUGGCGAAAGCGGCUCACUGGGUCUCUUCUGACGCUGAGGCGCGAAAGCGUGGGGAGCAAACAGG
rnacentral:rRNA from 1 species